UACGUAGGGUGCAAGCGUUGUCCGGAAUUAUUGGGCGUAAAGAGCUCGUAGGCGGUUUGUCGCGUCGGCUGUGAAAACUCGGGGCUCAACCCCGAGCCUGCAGUCGAUACGGGCAGACUAGAGUGCUGUAGGGGAGACUGGAAUUCCUGGUGUAGCGGUGGAAUGCGCAGAUAUCAGGAGGAACACCGGUGGCGAAGGCGGGUCUCUGGGCCGUUACUGACGCUGAGGAGCGAAAGCGUGGGGAGCGAACAGG
rnacentral:rRNA from 1 species